rnacentral:rRNA from 1 species
GAACCUGCGGAGGGAUCAUUGCUGGAACGCGCCUCGGCGCACCCAGAAACCCUUUGUGAACUUAUACCUUACUGUUGCCUCGGCGCAGGCCGGCCCCUCCACCGGGGCCCCUCGGAGACGAGGAGCAGCCCGCCGGCGGCCAACCAAACUCUUGUUUCUUAGUGAAUCUCUGAGUAAAAAACAUAAAUGAAUCAAAACUUUCAACAACGGAUCUCUUGGUUCUGGCAUCGAUGAAGAACGCAGCGAAAUGCGAUAAGUAAUGUGAAUUGCAGAAUUCAGUGAAUCAUCGAAUCUUUGAACGCACAUUGCGCCCUCUGGUAUUCCGGAGGGCAUGCCUGUUCGAGCGUCAUUUCAACCCUCAAGCCUGGCUUGGUGUUGGGGCACUGCUCCGAGAGGAGCAGGCCCUGAAAUCUAGUGGCGAGCUCGCCAGGACCCCGAGCGUAGUAGUUAUAUCUCGUUCUGGAAGGCCCUGGCGGUGCCCUGCCGUUAAACCCCCAACUUCUGAAAUUUUGACCUCGGAUCAGGUAGGAAUACCCGCUGAACUUAAGCAUAUCAAUAA